UACGUAGGGUGCAAGCGUUAAUCGGAAUUACUGGGCGUAAAGCGUGCGCAGGCGGUGAUGUAAGACCGAUGUGAAAUCCCCGGGCUUAACCUGGGAACUGCAUUGGUGACUGCAUCGCUCGAGUAUGGCAGAGGGGGGUAGAAUUCCACGUGUAGCAGUGAAAUGCGUAGAGAUGUGGAGGAAUACCGAUGGCGAAGGCAGCCCCCUGGGUCAAUACUGACGCUGAGGCGCGAAAGCGUGGGGAGCAAACAGG
rnacentral:rRNA from 1 species